rnacentral:rRNA from 1 species
GAUGAACGCUGGCGGCGUGCCUAAUACAUGCAAGUCGAGCGAACGGACGAGAAGCUUGCUUUUCUGAUGUUAGCGGCGGACGGGUGAGUAACACGUGGAUAACCUACCUAUAAGACUGGGAUAACUUCGGGAAACCGGAGCUAAUACCGGAUAAUAUUUUGAACCGCAUGGUUCAAAAGUGAAAGACGGUCUUGCUGUCACUUAUAGAUGGAUCCGCGCUGCAUUAGCUAGUUGGUAAGGUAACGGCUUACCAAGGCAACGAUGCAUAGCCGACCUGAGAGGGUGAUCGGCCAAACGGGAACUAGGACACGGUCCAAACUCCUACGGAGGGCAGCAGUAGGAAAUCUUCCGCAAUGGUCGAAACCCUAACGGAGAAACUCCGCGUGAGUGAUGAAGGUCUUCGAAUCGUAAAACUCUGUUAUUAGGAAAGAACAAAGUUGUAAUUACUGGGGAACUUUUGGCGGUACCCUAUCAGGAAGGCACGGCCAACCAACGU